rnacentral:rRNA from 1 species
AAAAAUGGGGUGRGUAARUUACCAUUMUAAAGYUAAAAUAUUKGGCGAGAGAMCCGAUAGCGAACCAAGUAYCCGURAGGGAAAGAUGAAAAGCCAYUUGGGAAAGAGAGUUAAWCAGUACGUGAAAUUGCUGAAAAGGGAAACACUUGAARUCAGUCGUGUCAGCCAGAACUCAGCCUUGUUKUUUUGCUUGGUGCAUUUUCUGGUUGAUGGRCCAGCAUUGAUUUUGGCCGCUGGAAAAAGGMUGGGGGAAUGUGGCACCUUCGGGUGUGUUAUAGMCCUCAGUCACAUACAGUGGUUGGGAKUGAGGACUGCAGCAUGCCUUUUAUGGCCAGGGUUCGCCCAUGUUCAUGCUUAGGAUGCUGRCAUAAUGGCUUUAAAUGACCCGUCUUGAAACACGGACCAAGGAGUMUAACAUGCCUGCGAGUGUUUGGGUGGAAAACCCGAGUGCGUAAUGAAAGUGAAAGUUGAGAUCCCUGUCAUGGGGAGCAUCGACGCCCGGACCUGAACUUUGGUGAWGGAUCUGCGGUAGAGCAUGUAUGUGGGACCCGAAAGAUGGAAAAGUAUGCCUAAUAGGGUAAGCCAGAGGAAYCUUUCCCUUCCCUCUAGYGUUCUACGYCCCCCCCUCUYAAAUUGGGCAUAGGGKCAAAAAUAUAUUAAUAAUGCGCUUAAAUUUUUUUCUUUUUUCAAUGAAAUWARAAAAAUCRA